GCCAGGCGUCAGCCGUGGUUGGUUGUGAGGGAACCUGGAGAACAGACUGAAUUUUUAGAAUGCUAUAUUUGCAUAUUGUUUUGCUUAAAACCCCAAAACAAACUUAAAAACCUGGAUCCCAAUUUGGAAAAUGUAAAUAUAAUCAAAAGCAGUUUACUGCCACACUCUGGGCUGGUCACCUCACAGGCUUUUAAAUAAAAUAAUAAAACCAGGAACAAAUAUACAUAUUAAACAGAGGUCUCUUUCUUAUCUUUAUCUGAUGGCUUUCGUUAAUCCCCUUUCCUCAGCUGUUUGACCCAAGUCAGGAAGUUCAAGUCACCGACAGAUUGGGAGGAAUCCAGUUCUAACUAAAAUGAACAAUUAAUAUUUUUCUAACCCCUACUAUGUGCAAGGGGCCCUGGUGGCGCAGUGGUUAAAAGCAAUGGCUGCUAAACAAAACGUUGGUAGUUCAAAUCCACCAGCCGCUCCUUGGAAACCCUAUUGAGCAGUUCUACUCUGUCCUAUAGGGUCACUAUGAGUCUGACAGCAACCAAGGCUCUAUAUUCUGAACGAGGAAGAAUGUGCACAACUUAGAAAUACUUGCUGGGUCAUAUCUGAUUGAACCCUGCAAAUAUUUUGCUUUGUUGAAUGUUUUCAUCCACUUAACUUUCAAGCUUCCAACUAAAAUAUGAUGUUCUCAAAUUCUACCUUCAAAAUUAAUCAUGUGUUAACAGUCAGUAUAGGUAUAUCCUCAAAAAAGUAAACUGUAUUUUGGGUCCCUUAUCUCACUUUUCUCAGCAAGCAGCUCAUUAUACCAGAGGGAUGGACACCACACAGAAGGCUUUUUAUUAUCUAAAGGUAAGCUGACUGCUUUAUGGAUUACUGAUCCCCUUACCUACCAGACACCAGGAAUCAGAAUCAGGGAAAAUAUUCAUAAAAAACAAUCAGAAAAACCCAAACCCAUUGCUGUCGAGUCAAUUCCAACGUGCUGUUGAGUCGAUUCCAACUCAUAGCAAACCUAUAGGACAGAGUAGAACAGCCCCACAGGGUUCCCAAGGAACGCCUGAUGAAUUCAAACUGCUGACCGUUUGGUGAGCAGCCUUAGCUCUUAAUCACCAGGGUUUCCUCAUAAAUGACAGGCAAAGCUAUUUCCAUAUUUUAUCAUUUUACACUAGUUUGCACUCAAGUUCUUCAUGUAAGUUGAACAAAACAAUGCACAGGUUUUCCAAGUGUCAUUAUUUUGUGUGCAAUGCCUUACAGCUUUUUUACUUUUAUCCUUCCAAUAGCUCCUCCUCUCUGCUUUUGAAGGGUGAAAUAUGGAGGGAGAAAUGAAGUCCAGGCCAAGAACAAACAGAAUAGGAAAAGGAUGCUGCUACUACGUGACGGAAAAGGCAGACAGAGAUGAGUAAGCCAAGGCCCAAAGGGGUUGGACAUUAAGUGACUUUCCUAAGGAGUCUCUGCACAUAGAGGAGGAGUCAACCCACGUGACCUCACAAGAAAGGAAGAAGUCAAUGGCAAGACCAGGACAAUUCCUUCAGUGAAAGGAAUUAGAUGUCAGAGGAGACUUUGACUCUUGCUCUUGAGCGUCGAGCAGCUAAAGCAAAAGGAAGAAUUGAUGAAGUAAAAGAACUGAACAGAAGAUUUCAAAGGGUCUCUCGAGAAGACAAAGUAAAGUAUUAUAAUGACACGCACGUGCAAAGAGCUGGAGAUGGAAAACCAAAAGGGAAGAACACGCUCAGCAUUUCUCAAGCUGAAAGAACUGAAGAAAAAAUUCAAGCCUCGAGUUGCAAUAGUGAAGGAUUCCAUGGGGAAAAUAUUAAACGACUCAGGAAGCAUCAAAAGAAGAUGGAAGGAAUACACAGAGUCAUUAUACCAAAAUGAAUUAGUCGAUAUUCAACCAUUUCAAGAGGUGUCAUAUGGUCAGGAACCGAUGGUACUGAAGGAAGAAGUCCAAGCUGCUCUGAAGGCAUUGGCAAAAAACAAGGCUCCAGGAAUUGAUGGAAUAUCAAUUGAGAUGUUUCAACAAACAGAUGCAGCACUGGAGAUGCUCACUCGUCUAUGCCAAGAAAUAUGGAAGACAGCUUCCUGGCCA